CACGCUCACCCGCCCGUAGAACUUCUCCCGCAGGCGCCGUACGCUCUUCUCCAGCUACGAGAGACAGGCCCACUCUUACUGCGGCCAGCCCCGGGUGUUCCCCGGGCACCAGCGUUACCGCGGCCAGCCCCGGCGAGACCCCAGGCACCAGCGUUACCGCGGCCAGCCCCGGGCGUGUCCCUGGGCACCAGCGUUCCCGCGGCCAGCCCCGGCGAUUCCCCAGGCACCAGCGUUACCGCGGCCAGCCCCGGCGAGUCCCUGGGCCCCACCCUUACCGCGGCCAGCCCCGGGCGAGUCCCCGGGCACCAGCGUUACCGCGGCCAGCCCCGGCAAUUCCCCGGGCACCAGCGUUACCGCGGCCAGCCCCGGCGAAACCCCGGGCACCAGCGUUACCGCGGCCAGCCCCGGGCGUGUCCCUGAGCCUCACCCUUACUGUGGCCAGCCCCGGGCGAGUCCCUGGGCACCAGCGUUACCGCGGCCAGCCCCGGGCGAUCCCUGGGCGCCAGCGUUACCGUGGCCAGCCCCGGGCAAGUCCCUGGGCACCAGCGUUACUGCGGCCAGCCCCGGGCCCUUCCCCGCCUGGGCCUGGGCACCCAUCUCCUGGGCCAGGGCAGUUCCCCAGCUCCCACCCCACAGCCUGGCCCCGGUACUGCCAGCUGCAGCCCCCAACUCUCCCAGACUUCUCAGGGCCCUGCCCAGAGCCUGGCCGUCCAGGUGACGCUGCAGAGCCCAACGGCUCAGCCCUGGGGGCAAC